UUGGUAGACACGUGGCGUUAUUUUAACCCUGAUCUAAUGGACUUCACCUGGUCGAACAAAAACUCAACACUUAAAUCAAGAAUUGAUCUUUUUUUGAUUUCCCAAUCCGCUAUUCAUUUUGUUAAGGAAGUCUUACAUUCAUUCGCACCACUGUCUGAUCAUAAGUUGAUAACAAUUAAACUGGGCAGCCAGCAGGACACUCCACUAUUACGAGGCUAUUGGAAGAUGAAUAAUAACUUACUAAAAGAUGAACACUUUAACAAUAGUGUUAAAGACCUGAUAACUGAAUUAUUCUCUGACUUAAGUGAGGGAUGUAAACAAAAAUGGGAGUUAUUUAAAUACAAAACACGAUAUAUUGCCAUUAAGAGGUGUAAAAUUAUUAAAGCCACUAGAAAUCAAUUAGAGACAAAGUUACUUCAAAGAAUAAAUGAGUUGUCUAAGGAGAAUAUUACUGAUGAAGAAAAGGUAGAAAUUAAAAACAUCAGCUUGCAACUUGACGAGUUGUACUUGGAUUUAGCUAAAGGGGCCUUUAUAAGAUCUAGGGCCAAAUGGUUAGAGGAGGGCGAGAAGAACUCUAGUUAUUUUUUUGCACUGGAGAAGAGGAAUGGCCAAAGAAAAGCCCUGACUUCUCUUAAUAUAAAUGGUACCAAAUCUAAUGACCCUAUGUUAAUUACAGAAUUUGUUGCAGAUUUUUACAAAGGUCUGUUCUCUUCUCAGUUUCAUCCCAGUAACUGCAGCAUGUUCAUUGAGAAAAUAAGUAAGAAUAUUCCGAUAAUCAAUGACACUUACAAAGCAGUUUGUGAUUCUAAUAUAACAGUUGCUGAAAUAGGGAAAGCUCUCCAUUCCACGAAAAAGGGGAGGGCUCCUGGGAUUGACGGACUUUCAGUGGAAUUUUAUGUGCAUUUUUGGGAAUAUAUUCAGGAUCCUUUGAUUUGUAUGUAUAAAGAAUGUGUGGAGCAAAAGGAGAUGACUACUACUAUGAAACAAGGAAUUAUUUCACUCAUCCCUAAACCGGGUAA
rnacentral:lncRNA from 1 species